rnacentral:lncRNA from 1 species
GGGGCUGGGCAGCGAGCUGGAGUGAGCGGCUGGAGUGAGUCUCUCUAGUCCCCGGCGCCUGGGCGGGGUUCGCGCAUAGGUUACCCGGCUUUCGCAGCUCCUGCGCUCUCCUGUCUGUGGUCGUCUUGCAUUUGAACAAUAGACUAGGAGGAGCCACUAGCGCCAUCGGCUGGCUGGGACUUCCACUUCUUGCUUAAGACAUCAG